CAUCUUCCAGCUGCGCUGGGUAUUGGGUAGUCCACAGUAGUGGACGCCUAAAACUUAGGUGGAGAAGCAGCCGAAAACUUUUAGCGCAGUGACUAAAAAUCUCGCUCUAGUUUCGGCUGUUGCUUUCCCCAAACUUCUCGUCUAAUCCCAGGAUUGAGAAAUCUCCAA
rnacentral:misc_RNA from 1 species